UUUAGCCUCGCCUUGUUUUUGGCCACCGCGUUCGCAUGCGGAAUAAAAAGGCUGUGCAACCUGGCCGACGGUUUUCAGACUCUCGAUCACUGCACCGAUAGGGAUCUUUACUGAGCGUUCUGGAGCAGCAACAUGGGACUGAGCAGCUUUCUUUGGUUGCUGCUGCUUGUGGCUUCUACAACAGGCAGCUAUCGAAGCUACGGCCACUAUGGAUACGGUUACCCCUUUCCACAUUACGGCCUCGGCUAUGGGAGGUACGGCCUCGGGGGAUAUGGUCACGGAUAUGGCCUAGGAGGCUACGGACUCGGGGGCUACGGGCUCGGAUACGGCUUCGGCUUUCCCAAGAUAUGGGGCUGACAAAAAGACGAAGGGAGGCGGCCCCGCAUAAAAACAAAAAAAUCUCUAUGAACACAGUAAACAAGAGGCUCACAUAUUUUUUCAAGUGGCACGUAGCAUGAGGUCCUUUCAUCAAGAUUCUAGAGGGCACUUGCUGAAACCGUGGAGAGACCUGUCUAGAAUGUCAUCGCCUAUGAAAUCAACGUCGCAGAUUGCUAGUCAAUAAAAGAAGUGGAUGCUUUCCAUGAGCUCUGGACAUAUGCCUCCGAGCCGCAAAGUGAAACUGAAACUACCGACAAGCCUUUCUCGCCGAAUGAACUCUGUCUAUCUAAGGUUCCUUAUUGUGUAUUAAAUUGAUUUCUGUGCCAACACGACGCUCCAUACUAGGCCCUUACCGAUGCUCUGAUGGGGUGUUUGCCUCGUGUACUCUAUGAAGCGUAUUAUAAUAUCCUUCUAAAUCUUAGUUACCUCACUAUUCCUAAC